GGUAAAAAUUCAACUCCUCCACGCCGCCCGUACUUCUUCCUCCUCGCCAUCUCUCCGCGCGUGAACGAUUUGAAGUUCGGUAUCUUCUCCUUGUUGUUUCCUCUCAUACGACAAGUUAAUGAGGGCUGGUCAUAUCUAGUGACUGAAGAAGUCAAAGAGGACUGCUACCUACAGGCAACUGUUCUAAAGGAUGUUGGAGACAAAUACAACAUCAGUGUUGCUGGAAGAGAAUGCCCGUAAGAGAAAGUCGGAUGAUGUGGGAUGGGAGUAUGGGAGUCUAGCCGAUGUUUCCAAGAAGGACAAAGUGAAGUGUUUGUUUUGUAACCAUGUGAUCAUUGGAGGUGUUUAUCAUCACAAGCAGCAUGUGGCUCAUGUUCGUAAUUUUGUGGCUAAAUGCAAGAAAAGCUCACAGGAAGCUAAAGAUAGGUGCAAGAAAUCUCUUGAGGAGGCAUCUAAGAAGAGGAGGGAAAAGACUUCCCGUGAGCUAGAGCUCAGAGAACACGUGAAUAUUUCUCGUGUUGCAGAUGCUUAAGUUACUUGAGCUCAUAAUUUAUAAUGCUAUAUGCCGUAUUGGGUCUUGCGUGAUGUUUGCCUCAACUAUAUUUGAAUAUUUGAUGUUCCUAUGUUACUGCUACUUCCCUUGGGUA